AGUGGAUGGGGAGCAACCUAGUUGUGCGUGUGUAAAGGUAGUGCCAAGAAAAGCGAUGAUCAUGUUGAAAAUCAAUUCCCGGUACCCGAAACCGACACAGGUGGGCAAGUAGAGAAUACUAAGGGGCGCGAGGUAACUCUCUCCAAGGAACUCGGCAAAAUGACCCCGUAACUUAGGGAGAAGGGGUGCCACCGAGAGGUGGUCGCAGUGAAGAGGCCCAGGCGACUGUUUAGCAAAAACAUAGGUCUCUGCAAACUCGAAAGAGGAGGUAUAGGGGCUGACGCCUGCCCAGUGCCCGAAGGUUAAAGAAGUUGGUCAGUCUUAGGAUGAAGCUAGCGACUGAAGCCCCGGUGAACGGCGGCCGUAACUAUAACGGUCCUAAGGUAGCGAAAUUCCUUGUCGGGUAAGUUCCGACCCGCACGAAAGGCGUAACGAUCUGGGCGCUGUCUCGGAGAGAGGCUCGGCGAAAUAGGAUUGUCUGUGAAGAUACGGACUACCUGCAUUUGGACAGAAAGACCCUAUGAAGCUUUACUAUAGCUUGGAAUUGUGUUCGGGCUUCCUGUGCGCAGGAUAGGUGGGAGGCGUAGAAGGUAUUCUUGUGGGGAUACUGGAGCCAACGGUGAGAUACCACUCUCAGGAGGCUAGAAUUCUAACUUAAUUAAGGACAGUUUCAGGUGGGUAGUUUGACUGGGGCGGUCGCCUCCAAAAAGGUAACGGAGGCGUACAAAGGUUCCCUCAGACUGGUUGGAAAUCAGUCGAAGAGUGCAAAGGCAGAAGGGAGCUUGACUGCGAGAAGUACAGUUCGAGCAGGGUGGAAACACGGUCUUAGUGAUCCGACGGUGCUGUGUGGAAGGGCCGUCGCUCAACGGAUAAAAGUUACUCUAGGAUAACAGGCUGAUCUCCCCCAAGAGUUCACAUCGACGGGGAGGUUUGGCACCUCGAUGUCGGCUCAUCGCAACCUGGGGCGGAAGUACGUCCCAAGGGUUGGGCUGUUCGCCCAUUAAAGCGGUACGUGAGCUGGGUUCAGAACGUCGUGAGACAGUUCGGUCCAUAUCCGAUGUAGGCGUGAGAAUAUUGAGAGGAGCCUUCCUUAGUACGAGAGGACCGGGAAGGACGCACCGCUGGUGUACCUGUUAUGAUGCCAAUUGUAAACGCAGGGUAGCCAAGUGCGGAGAGGAUAACCGCUGAAAGCAUCUAAGUGGGAAGCCCACCUCAAGAUGAGUAUUCUGGUGUAAGGUCACGGGAAGACGACCCGUAAAUAGGCACGAGGUGGAAGUGCAGAGAUGUAUGAAGCCGAAGUGUACUAAUAGACCGUCGGCUUGACC
rnacentral:rRNA from 1 species